rnacentral:rRNA from 1 species
AGUGAACGCUGGCGGUAGGCCUAACACAUGCAAGUCGAACGGCAACACAGUAAGAGCUUGCUCUUACGGGUGGCGAGUGGGAGACGGGUGAGGAAUACAGCGGAAUCUACUUUUUCGUGGGGGAUAACGUAGGGAAACUUACGCUAAUACCGCAUACGACCUACGGGUGAAAGCAGGGGAUCGUCGGACCUUGCGCGAUUGAAUGAGCCGAUGUCGGGGUAGCUAGUUGGCGGGGUAAAGGCACACCAAGGCGACGAUGAGUAGUUGGUCGGAUAGGAUGGUCAGCCACACUGGAGCUGAGGCACGGUCCAGACUCCUCCGGGGGGCAGCAGUGGUGAAUAUUAGACAACGGGGGGAGGAAGGAUGCAGCCAUACCGCGGCGGUGAAGAAGGCGUUCGGGUUGUAGAGACCUUUUGUUGGGAGAGAAGCGCAGCAGGUUAAUACGUCGCUGUUCUGACGGUACCCAAAGAAUAAGCACCGGCUAACUUCGUG